rnacentral:lncRNA from 1 species
UAAAUUAGUGUAGCAGUAUGGCAUGCUGCUCUGUUUUCCUCCGUUACAGGCAGGAGAUAGCCUGCUACUUUGAUCUACUCAGUAAAACAGAAUGGAUUCCUUUUGUCUGUGAACAGCAGCUGAGUGAGAAGAAAGAGCAAAGGAACCUGAAGACUGCUUUAUGAUGGAUCAUGGUCUGCCAGUGAUCUCUGGAUAACAAGAUCUCAGUGUGAAGGACUUCUAUAAUGCAUGAGCCAACAAUGUAUGUUACUGGUAAGAAGAGAGCUUGUCACCGUAUCUAAUGUACACUGCUUAGAGAAUAAUUCCUGUUGUGGAAGAAAAAUAGGGAAAAGUGAUACAACUUUAACACAUACUCAUUCUAGAGACUACACAUCAGAGAGGUUCCCUCCGUGCACCAUCUGUUUCUCUGCAAUUGGGAAUGGUAGAAUAAUUUUCUGA